rnacentral:rRNA from 1 species
AUGAACGCUGGCGGCGUGCCUAAUACCUGCCAGUCGCGCGAACAGACGAGGAGCUUGCUCCUCUGACGUUAGCGGCGGACGGGUGAGUAACACGUGGAUAACCUACCUAUAAGACUGGGAUAACUUCGGGAAACCGGAGCUAAUACCGGAUAAUAUAUUGAACCGCAUGGUUCAAUAGUGAAAGACGGUUUUGCUGUCACUUAUAGAUGGAUCCGCGCCGCAUUAGCUAGUUGGUAAGGUAACGGCUUACCAAGGCGACGAUGCGUAGCCGACCUGAGAGGGUGAUCGGCCACACUGGUACUGAGACACGGUCCAGACUCCUACGGGAGGCAGCAGUAGGGAAUCUUCCGCAAAGGGCGAAAGCCUGACGGAGCAACGCCGCGUGAGUGAUGAAGGUCUUCGGAUCGUAAAACUCUGUUAUUAGGGAAGAACAAAUGUGUAAGUAACUAUGCACGUCUUGACGGUACCUAAUCAGAAAGCCACGGCUAACUACGUG